rnacentral:lncRNA from 1 species
UUGGGCAAAGAGAACCGAGAUCCGGCAGCCGAGGAGGAGAGACGAAGCGGGGACGAGAAGCGGCCUACGAGAGAGGAAGGCGCGCGGUGGCGUCCCUGGGCUCCCCUCCGAUGCGUGCAGGUGGGGGUCCCCUCGGACGAGACGAGAGAGGAGGGCCUCCCCUCCGAUGCGUGCAGGAGGGAGAGAAGAGGACGCUUGCUUGGACGGAGAAGAGGGAGCGCGUCCGCCGCGGCUGCGUCACCGGCGCACGGCGUCGCGCCCGCCGCUCUCCAGAUGCGCCGCCGCGGAGAGGACGGAGCAGCGAAUGAAUCGGUCGGGAAGGAG